rnacentral:rRNA from 1 species
UACGGAGGGUGCAAGCGUUAAUCGGAAUUACUGGGCGUAAAGCGCACGUAGGUGGUUUGUUAAGCCAGCUGUGAAAGCCCUGGGCUCAACCUGGGAAUGGCAGUGGAUACUGGAAGGCUGGAGUACGGUAGAGGAGGGUGGAAUUCCCGGUGUAGCGGUGAAAUGCGUAGAGAUCGGGAGGAACAUCAGUGGCGAAGGCGGCCCUCUGGACCAGUACUGACGCUGAGGCACGAAAGCGUGGGGAGCAAACAGG